rnacentral:rRNA from 1 species
GACGAACGCUGGCGGCACGCCUAACACAUGCAAGUCGAACGAAAGGUCCGGGUCUAGUCUCGCAUGGGUUCGUAACGCGUCGGAUCCUGCCCUUAUGGUCGGAAUAACUCCCCGAAUGGGGUACUAUUACCGGACAAUGUCUUCUGACCGAAGAUUUAUCGACUUUGGAUGUGCCCGCGUUGGAUUCGCUAGUUCGUAGGGUAAAAGCCUACCACGGCGACGAUUCAUAGCUUGUCAGAGAGGAAGAUCAGCCACACUGGGACUCAGACACGGCCCAGACUCCUACGGGAGGGGGGAGUGGGGGAUAGUGGAAAAUGGGGGAAGGGAUGAUGGAGCUAGGACGGGAGAGCGAUGUAGGCAUUAGAGUUGUAAAGCUCAUUUAACCGUGAUGAUAAUGACAGUACCGGGAGAAUAAGCUCCGGCUAACUCCGUG